AAUAAUAUUGUCUCCUACCCCAUAUUGUGGGGAUGAGUAGGAGAUGAGAAUCGAUUGAAUGAAGGAAUAUUUCCCAUGGGUCACUGCUUCAUAUGUGACUCAGACUGGAUCCUGAGACGUGUUGCUAUAGCACCGGUGACACCGAAGAGCUCCAGGUGUUCACACACCUACACAUGACAGGACGAUAUGAAGAAAUUUGGAUGCAUCACACAGAGGUUACCUUCUGUCAAGACCCUUCUCCAAUGUCAUGCCCUACUCCAAUGCCAUCCCUGUGUGUUUUUCCACAAUCACCUGAGAAGGUAAUGAGAUAAUGAGUAAAACCACCUGAGCUGAAGACCGUUUACAUUAUUGGCCAACCUGUCAGUGAAAGUUUGUUGAACAUAUCAGGGACAUGUUCCGGGUUUCAGCAGCCAUGCUUUCCGCAGUAAAGAGGACAAGUAAAGAUAGGAAAGUGAAGAGCGAAUUCAUGGGUCGAGUUCUUCUGCAGUAACCCUUCGCAUUGUUUUGUAGAUUCGGGACAGCAGGUGAUCUAGUCCUGAGCACCAUCAACACUCCUCCUGUAGUUCCUCUGGUCAAGGUACUUACCCUGACUGGAUGAAUACAGCCAACAUUUUCCACCCAAAUUAAUGGAUGAAUUACUCUGAGCUUCUUGGUGCACAAACCUAAUAUUGUAAGGUAGCAUGUAGAAAAAGUGUCACAUAAAUGAAUAAAUGUAAAUGUUAAUUGUGAGUCAAUCGCUGGUGAAAAUCAUGCAUUUUGACACUCUCAGAAGUGUGGUCACAAAAUGGAAUGGUUUGCUGUAAUCGGAGUCUCUUUCUUUAGUCUAUGAAUUUGUUUUGAGCAGUUUUAUUUAUUAUGAAUACGUUUAUUCCCGGGUCAAUGUAGGAUGUUCCACCAGGUCGUGGCCACUAGGGGCGCCCGCGGGGAGGAGCCUAUAACCCCCGCACUGCGACCAUCUUCUCGUUAUUAGAAACCCCGGAGUGAGCGGUGAAAUGCUGUCUUUACCGCUCGUUUACCACUUUUCUCCUGGCCAGUACAGCCGCUUGUUCCGAGCGAGGUCGCGGGGAACCGAAGCCUAACCUGGGAACGCAGGGCCGGAGGGGGACACACACACACCCAGGACGGGACGCCAGUCCAUCAGGGCACCAAUCAGGCCUCGAGCCCCAGACCCGCCACCCAGCGGACACCGCCGGGCGAACCCGCUGCGCCACCACGCCUUCCUAUUAUUAUUAUUCUUAUUAUUAUUGUUGUUGUUUUUAAGAUGUGUGCACACUUUGUGAACUUUAACGACGAUACUUAUUCGUUAUAUUACUUUUUAUUAUUAUGUAACUGUUGGAG
rnacentral:lncRNA from 1 species